GACAGAUUGGUGAUUAUUCUCUCGAUCCUAAUCGUUGUUUAUACAGUUUUGAUUCCACUGAGGUAAUUUACGCGACAGCCAUCGGGAGGAUCUUCCGGCUGCCUAAACAGAAUAAAACCAGUUCGAAAAUCAACACAAGCUUAACUUUUGGCUGCAGUUUGUAAUCAGCUUGUGUAAACAUGAGGACAAGCCGGCUAGAGUGGUUCCCUUGAAGGAGUUUCCGGCCAACGACAAAUGACAAUACCUUAGGAGAUAAGCUGUAAACAUAACUCAAAAUGGAUAGAAACAUUGACUGAUCUACCCAGCUGGGAUUAUCGGAUGAUUUUGAGAAAUUAGUGGCGAAAAUGAUAUUGCACAACUUGAGGAUGACGACGAGCUUGUACGACCUCGAUGCGGUUGAAACUGGUCAUGCUUUACCGUACCAACAAAAUGCAGGCUGGUAGCAGGUCUCUGAAAAGACUUGGUCUUUAUUAAGGCCUCUAA